GUGGGGAAUAUUGGGCAAUGGGCGAAAGCCUGACCCAGCAACGCCGCGUGAGGGAAGAAGGUUUUCGGAUCGUAAACCUCUGUCCUUAGUGAAGAGUAAGAGACGGUAGCUAAGGAGGAAGCCCCGGCUAACUACGUGCCAGCAGCCGCGGUAAUACGUAGGGGGCGAGCAUUGUCCGGAAUGAUUGGGCGUAAAGGGCGCGUAGGCGGCCUGUUAAGUCCGGAGUGAAAUUCCUGCUUUCAAGGUAGGAAGUGCUUUGGAAACUGGCGGGCUGGAGUGCAGGAGAGGUUAGCGGAAUUCCCGGUGUAGCGGUGAAAUGCGUAGAGAUCGGGAGGAACACCAGUGGCGAAGGCGGCUAACUGGACUGUAACUGACGCUGAGGCGCGAAAGUGUGGGGAGCAAACAGGAUUAGAUACCCCAGUAGUCC
rnacentral:rRNA from 1 species